rnacentral:rRNA from 1 species
UACGUAUGGGGCAAGCGUUAUCCGGAUUUAUUGGGCGUAAAGCGCGCGUAGGCGGCUUGUUAAGUCAGGUGUGAAAUCCGGGGGCUCAACCCGCGGCUUGCAUCUGAAACUGGCAGGCUUGAGUCUGGUAGAGGAAAGUGGAAUUCCUGGUGUAGCGGUGAAAUGCGCAGAUAUCAGGAGGAACACCAGUGGCGAAGGCGGCUUUCUGGGCCACGACUGACGCUGAGGCGCGAAAGCUAGGGGAGCGAAC